AUUGAACGCUGGCGGCAUGCUUUACACAUGCAAGUCGAACGGCAGCGCGGGGCAACCUGGCGGCGAGUGGCGAACGGGUGAGUAAUACAUCGGAACGUACCCAGAAGUGGGGGAUAACGUAGAGAAAGUUACGCUAAUACCGCAUACGUUCUACGGAAGAAAGUGGGGGAUCUUCGGACCUUAUGCUUUUGGAGCGGCUGAUGUCUGAUUAGCUAGUUGGUGAGGUAAAGGCUCACCAAGGCGACGAUAAGUAGCUGGUCUGAGAGGACGACCAGCCACACUGGGACUGAGGCACGGGCCAGACGCCUACGGGAGGCAGCAGUGGGGAAUUUCGGACAAUGGGCGCAAGCCUGAUCCAGCAAUGCCGCGUGAGGGAAGAAGGCAUUCUGGUUGUAAAUCUGUUUUGUCAGGGAAGAAACGGCUGGGGGUAAUACCUCUGGCUAAUGACGGUACCUUAAGAAUAAGCACCGGCUAACUACGUGCCAGCCGCCGCGGUAA
rnacentral:rRNA from 1 species